GCAUCGUUUCACAAUGUUUCCAUCACCAUCAUCAGUGGAUGCCUUUGCCGUCUGUAGCCUGAGAUUUCAGAUUUGCAGCAAAAAAAAAUUGAUUUUCUCAUUUAUUGGAAUGCUGUGCAGGUCACCAAGCCGUAACAAAAGCAGGAGAGGAAAAGUACAAGGCUAUGUUCCCAAAACACACAAGUGACAUACCUUAUGUGGAUGAUGUGAUCAGGCUUGUGUUUGAUGAGGUAUUUGAAGAUAAGCUGAAGGAAACCCCGAUUCCAAUGGACCUGGCAUCACAGUUUGAGAGACCUUCAAAGGAGGACGUGAUUGCAUGCCAUCUUCAGUGCAGGGGUCGUCGAAAGCCAACAUUCAGAUCAGGAAGCUCCAAGCAUA